rnacentral:tRNA from 2 species
GGCAACAUGGCCGAGUGGUCUAAGGCGCUGGAAUUAGGAUCCAGUCCGCAAGGGCGUGGGUUCGAACCCCACUGUUGUCA